rnacentral:rRNA from 1 species
AUUGAACGCUGGCGGCAUGCCUUACACAUGCAAGUCGAACGGCAGCACGGGAGCAAUCCUGGUGGCGAGUGGCGAACGGGUGAGUAAUAUAUCGGAACGUGCCCAGUCGUGGGGGAUAACGUAGCGAAAGCUACGCUAAUACCGCAUACGAUCUAUGGAUGAAAGCGGGGGGAUCGCAAGACCUCGCGCGAUUGGAGCGGCCGAUAUCAGAUUAGGUAGUUGGUGAGGUAAAGGCUCACCAAGCCGACGAUCUGUAGCUGGUCUGAGAGGACGACCAGCCACACUGGGACUGAGACACGGCCCAGACUCCUACGGGAGGCAGCAGUGGGGAAUUUUGGACAAUGGGCGGCAAGCCUGAUCCAGCAAUGCCGCGUGCAGGAUGAAGGCCUGGU